rnacentral:pre_miRNA from 1 species
UUCUAUGGAUGAGCAAAGAAAGUGAUUUCUUGAGAUGGAAGUUACUUCUGGUGAAGGUGCUGAGAA